AUUGAACGCUGGCGGCAUGCCUUACACACGCAAGUCGAACGGUAACAGGUCUUCGGAUGCUGACGAGUGGCGAACGGGUGAGUAAUACAUCGGAACGUGCCUAGUAGUGGGGGAUAACUACUCGAAAGAGUGGCUAAUACCGCAUGAGAUCUACGGAUGAAAGCAGGGGAUCGCAAGACCUUGUGCUACUAGAGCGGCCGAUGGCAGAUUAGGUAGUUGGUGUGAUAAAAGCUUACAAAGCCGACGAACUGUAGCUGGUCUGAGAGGAAGAUCAGCCACACUGGGACUGAGACACGGCCCAGACUGAUACGGGAGGCAGCAGUGGGGAAUUUUGGACAAUGGGCGAAAGCCUGAUACAGCAAUGCCGCGUGCAGGAUGAAGGCCUUCGGGUUGUAAACUGCUUUUGUACGGAACGAAAAGCCCCGGGUUAAUACCCUGGGGUCAUGACGGUACCGUAAGAAUAAGCACCGGCUAACUACGUGCCAGCCGCCGCCGUAA
rnacentral:rRNA from 1 species